CACGUAGGCGGAUCAAUUAGUUGAGGGUGAAAUCCCGGGGCUCAACCUCGGAACUGCCUUCAAUACUGUUGAUCUUGAGUCCGAGAGAGGUGAGUGGAAUUCCUAGUGUAGAGGUGAAAUUCGUAGAUAUUAGGAAGAACACCAGUGGCGAAGGCGGCUCACUGGCUCGGUACUGACGCUGAGGUGCGAAAGCGUGGGGAGCAAACA
rnacentral:rRNA from 1 species